CAGCCGCCGCGGUAAAACGUAGGGUGCGAGCGUUAAUCGGAAUUACUGGGCGUAAAGGGUGCGUAGGCGGUUCAGCAAGUCUCGUGUGAAAUCUUCGGGCUCAACCCGAAGUCUGCACGGGAAACUACUGGGCUUGAGUAAUGGAGAGGUGAGUGGAAUUUCCGGUGUAGCGGUGAGAUGCGUAGAUAUCGGAAGGAACACCUGUGGCGAAAGCGGCUCACUGGACAUUUACUGACGCUGAUGCACGAAAGCUAGGGGAGCAAACAGGAUUAGAGACCCCCGUAGUCCCUGUCUCUUAUAC
rnacentral:rRNA from 1 species